rnacentral:rRNA from 1 species
UACAGAGGGGGCAAGCGUUAUUCGGAAUUAUUGGGCGUAAAGGGCGCGUAGGCGGCCUGGCAAGUGGAAGGUGAAAUCCCUCGGCUUAACCGAGGAACUGCCCUCCAAACUGCUUGGCUUGAGUCCGGGAGAGGUGAGUGGAACUGCGAGUGUAGAGGUGAAAUUCGUAGAUAUUCGCAAGAACACCAGUGGCGAAGGCGGCUCACUGGCCCGGUACUGACGCUGAGGUGCGAAAGCGUGGGGAGCAAACAGGG